UUAGUAGAGGGACAAGUAAUUUGGAAUUUAUUUAAAGAAUGAAAAGAAAUUAUAUCCGCAUAUGCGCUAGCUUCAUAUAGUCAUAUCUUCCGGCUUAUAUGAAUCAAGUUAUGAGCUAUAUAUCAAAUGUAAGCUCUUUAGUUGUUUUAUUUUUUUUUUAAAAUAUUUGUGGCUGCUACGCCAUUUUAUUAAUCAAAACAGAAUACAAAAUAAAUCCAGUCAGGUCAUGGGCUAAAAAUAUAAAAUAAAAAUAAAUGAAAAAAAUCUAUAAAAUAUUUUUGGUCCAUCCCACUAUUAAUAGUGACCCAGUCCUUUGUACUAUAUUGAGUCUUCCUCUGUACUCUUGUCAGUUCUUACUCAACCUUUUCAAAUUCCUCAAUAAUUUCGAGAUCCUUACACUCUAUUGUCAUCGGAACCUCUAUUUUCUCCGCUUCCUCCUGUUGGUCAUCCAUGACCUUGCUCCUUUACAUCAACUGCACUUCCUUUUCACAUAAGUGUUUGGGGUUUAGUCACUAUUAUGUGGACUUAAAGAAGACAGACAUCUGGAGUUCGCAACUCUUCCAUCUUUUUAUGGUGGAAUGGAGUUUUCUCCCCCUUUGCAAAUUAGGGCCUGAAGCUGACCUCCAAGUGCCAAAAAUAACAUUUGACGUCGGGAUCCUUAAUUUUUGGUAAAAGAUUUUGUGUGUUAACAUAUCUUAGAAAGACUUGUUUAGAAAUUUUAAUGUUCGUGGGUGUACAACAUACUCUUUUGUAUAUAUUCUUGGUGCAUUUUCUUAUAUUGUUGGGUUUAUCUAUACUUUCAUGCAAGUGACUUUUGUGAAUCCUCAUGUUUGUUGUGGUUUAAUAUUUCUUGUGCUUAUCCUUAUUAUUGGUAUUUGUGAUUUAUAUGCAUUAAGAAUUUUCUUUUCCAUUGUUGGUAGCUCUGUGAAACUGUGAAAUUCUAUCUUGGUGCCUUCCAUCUCUGAUAGAUUAACUAGAUUGUAAGCUAACUAACUGUUCUUUCUGAAAAUAUGCUAAAACUUGACAUUUUACUUUGAAACUUUCUCUCUAAUCUCCUUCACCAUCUCUACAAUCUCUCAUGGAACUCUCCAAACUUUCUUGAUGUUUUUAAUCAUUGCAAGCAAGUUUGUUUCUAGGAUUUUAUCUUGUGCUUUAAUAUUCGAUCAAAAUCUUAGUGUCUCAAGGAUAGAUUUAACGUUUGCUUCCAUGUUUAUAUCCUAACCUAACACUCCAACCUGUACGUAAAGUAAAUCACCUUUGUGGUCUCUUAAACAAAAGCUAUAAGAGUUGGGACCAAGAUUCCCUUUGCUUGUACUAUCAGUGUUGGAUUUAGUGCCAUUUAUUGCUGGAAGCUCCCUUUUGACAACAUGGUGGUAUAAUUUUGGCUUGUAGCCGUCCAAAGUCUUGACCAAGUCUUUUUAGUAUUGUCCUCAAUCCUGUUCUUGAAACUUUAGCCAUGGAUAUAACAUUUUCAGCAUCUAAUGUUUAGAUGUCUGAAUAUAUUCCACUAUUAUAGGUAAGUUGGUGUCUCCUCCAUAUUUUCUUGUGUUCUUUAUCUUUCGUAAUUUUUAUAAGACUAAAUUUGAAAGUGUCUUAUAGACUUUCUGUAAUUUAUUGGUAGUUUUUACAUUCCACCACUUAUUGAUUAG